GGGGAUGAUCGGCUUAGAUAAAUAAGUCACUUUUUUAUAUGCAUUGAAAGCUGAGUUAACUUUUAAAACUGAUUCACAAAGAUAAGUGCAAACUUGUCACAAAAAGCAAAGGCGAUUUUAUCUCCUUAUGCUCCAGCAUUAGCUUUAGCUUAAGCUGGCGGGCAAUCUGUUGAUGUUUGAUAGAUAGAUUGUUUGCUAUAAAUUUCAGACUAGGAAAUAAGCUUUCUCUGACUCAAUUCCGAAACUAAAGAGAUCGAGGUUGUAGGGUUUUGUUUGUUUCAUACCUAUUUCCUCUAAACACAAAAAAUAAAAUAACAAUGUAGAAUUAUUAAAAAGCCUUGUUUACACGCGAGUUCGAUUCUCGCCAUCUCCACAU
rnacentral:tmRNA from 1 species